rnacentral:rRNA from 1 species
GACGAACGCUGGCGGCGUGCCUAAUACAUGCAAGUCGAGCGCAGGAAGCUGACGGAACUCUUCGGAGGGAAGGCAGUGGAAUGAGCGGCGGACGGGUGAGUAACACGUAAGGAACCUGCCUCAAGGAUUGGGAUAACUCCGAGAAAUCGGAGCUAAUACCGGAUAGUUCAACGGACCGCAUGGUCCGCUGAUGAAAGGCGCUCCGGCGUCACCUUGAGAUGGCCUUGCGGUGCAUUAGCUAGUUGGUGGGGUAACGGCCCACCAAGGCGACGAUGCAGAGCCGACCGGAGGGGGUGAGCGGCCACACUGGGACUGAGACACGGCCCAGACUCCUACGGGAGGCAGCAGUAGGGAAUCUUCCACAAUGGACGAAAGUCUGAUGGAGCAACGCCGCGUGAGUGAUGAAGGUUUUCGGAUCGUAAAACUCUGUUGUAAGGGAAGAACACGUACGAGAGGGAAUGCUCGUACCUUGACGGUACCUUACGAGAAAGCCACGGCUAACUACGUGCCAGCCGCCGCAGUAAAAC